UACGUAGGGGGCGAGCGUUGUCCGGAAUCACUGGGCGUAAAGGGCGCGUAGGCGGCUUGAUAAGCGUGCGGUGAAAGCCCGGGGCUCAACCCCGGGUCGGCCGUGCGAACUGUCGAGCUGGAGCACUGUAGAGGCAGGUGGAAUUCCGGGUGUAGCGGUGGAAUGCGUAGAGAUCCGGAAGAACACCGGUGGCGAAGGCGGCCUGCUGGGCAGUGGCUGACGCUGAGGCGCGACAGCGUGGGGAGCAAACAGG
rnacentral:rRNA from 1 species